AGAGCGAACGCUGGCGGCAGGCCUAACACAUGCAAGUCGAGCGCCCGUAGCAAUACGGGAGCGGCAGACGGGAGAGUAACACGUGGGAACGCGCCCUUCGGUUCGGAAUAACUCAGGGAAACUUGAGCUAAUACCGGAUACGCCCUUACGGGGAAAGAUUUAUUGCCGAAGGAACGGCCCGCGUCCGAUUAGCUAGUUGGUGAGGUAAUGGCUCACCAAGGCGACGAUCGGUAGCUGGUCUGAGAGGAUGACCAGCCUCACUGGGACUGAGACACGGCCCAGACUCCUACGGGAGGCAGCAGUGGGGAAUAUUGGACAAUGGGCGCAAGCCUGAUCCAGCCAUGCCGCGUGGAUGAUGAAGGCCUUAGGGUUGUAAAGUCCUUUUAACGGGGAAGAUAAUGACGGUACCCGUAGAAUAAGCCCCGGCUAACUUCGUGCCAGCAGCCGC
rnacentral:rRNA from 1 species